rnacentral:tRNA from 1 species
UCUCUAGUGGCUCAGACAGUAAAGCAUCUGCCUGGAAUGCAGGAAACCUGGGUUCGAUCCCUGGGUCGGGAA